GAAUAUUGGACAAUGGGCGCAAGCCUGAUCCAGCCAUACCGCGGGGGUGAAGAAGGCCUUCGGGUUGUAAAGCCCUUUUGUUGGGAAAGAAAAGCAGUCGGCUAAUACCCGGUUGUUCUGACGGUACCAAAAGCAUCAGCACCGGCCAACUUCGUACCAGAAGCCGCGGUACUACGAAGGGUGCAAGCGUUACUCGGAAUUCCUGGGCGGAAAGCGUGCGUAGGUGGUUGUUUAAGUCUGUUGUGAGAGCCCUGGGCUCAACCUGGGAAUUGCAGUGGAUACUGGGCGGUUAGAGUGUGGUAGAGGGUAGUGGAAUUCCCGGUGUAGCAGUGAAAUGCGUAGAGAUCGGGAGGAACAUCCAUGGCGAAGGCAGCUACCUGGACCAACACUGACACUGAGGCACGAAAGCGUGGGGAGCAAACAG
rnacentral:rRNA from 1 species